AUUGAACGCUGGCGGCAGGCUUAACACAUGCAAGUCGAGCGGAGAUGAGGUGCUUGCACCUUAUCUUAGCGGCGGACGGGUGAGUAAUGCUUAGGAAUCUGCCUAUUAGUGGGGGACAACAUUCCGAAAGGAAUGCUAAUACCGCAUACGUCCUACGGGAGAAAGCAGGGGACCUUCGGGCCGUGCGCUAAUAGAUGAGCCUAAGUCGGAUUAGCUAGUUGGUGGGGUAAAGGCCUACCAAGGCGACGAUCUGUAGCGGGUCUGAGAGGAUGAUCCGCCAAACUGGGACUGAGACACGGCCCAGACUCCUACGGGAGGCAGCAGUGGGGAAUAUUGGACAAUGGGCGGAAGCCUGAUCCAGCCAUGCCGCGUGUGUGAAGAAGGCCUUUUGGUUGUAAAGCACUUUAAGCGAGGAGGAGGCUACUAGUACUAAUACUACUGGAUAGUGGACGUUACUCGCAGAAUAAGCACCGGCUAACUCUGUGCCAGCCGCCGCGGUAAUAC
rnacentral:rRNA from 1 species